rnacentral:rRNA from 1 species
GUAGCGAAAGAUAGGUGAGAAUCCUAUCCGCCGAAAGACUAAGGUUUCCUGGGGCAGGCUCGUCCGCCCAGGGUAAGUCGGGACCUAAGGCAAGGCCGAGAGGCGUAGUCGAUGGAUAACAGGUAGAGAUUCCUGUACUGUGUUCAAUCGUUAAGAGCGAAGGAGGGACGCAGGAGGUGAAGCACGCAUCGCGAUGGAACGAUGUUCAAGCGACAAGUGCGGUUAAGAGUCAAAUGCUUCUAACCAGCAACACGA